rnacentral:miRNA from 1 species
CUCUCAGACCAUCAAAGAGACAGCAUGAUCCACAUAACUCUAUAUUAACUUUCUUUACUCAUCUUUUUUUUCCUCUGAUUCCUAAUUUAGGGGAAAAAAAAGAUGAGUAAAGAAAGUUAAUAUAGAGUUAUGUGGAUCAUGCUGUCUCUUUGAUGGUCUGAGA